rnacentral:RNase_P_RNA from 1 species
UGGGUCGGCAAGACGGUCGCGUCGGCUGGAGACAGCCGCCGAGGAACGUCCGGGCUCCACAGGGCAGGACGGUGGGUAACACCCACCCGGGGCAACCCGCGAGAAAGUGCAACAGAAAGCAGACCGCCAGCGCCCUCGGGCGCGGGUAAGGGUGAAACGGUGGUGUAAGAGACCACCAGCGGUCGCGGUGACGCGAUCGGCUAGGUAAACCUCGUCCGGAGCAAGGUCAGACAGGAAGCGGUGAGGCGGCCCGCCGAGCUUCCGGGUAGACCGCUAGAGACGUGCGGCAACGUACGUCCGAGAUAGAUGGCCGUCCAGCAUCCGCGUGAUGCGAGACAGAACCCGGCGUAGCAGCCGGCCCAUUCC